AUCGAGAUACAUUGUCCGAGAGCCCGUACGAACCUUAGGAAUAGAUAGGAUACAUAUGUCAUGACAUAGGAUUUCCGAUAUGUGUUAUCGUGUAAGACCACGUCUGGGAUGUUGGCAUCGACUUGUGUUUACGUGUAAGACCAUGUCUGGGACAUUGGCAUCGUAUUUGAUUCAUGUAAGACCCUGUCUGGGACAGUGGCAUUGAUAUGUGAUUACAUGUAAGACC
rnacentral:lncRNA from 1 species